rnacentral:rRNA from 1 species
UGGGGAAUAUUGGGCAAUGGGCGCAAGCCUGACCCAGCCAUGCCGCGUGAGUGAUGAAGGCCUUCGGGUCGUAAAGCUCUGUGGGGAGGGACGAAAAAGGGCUGGCUAACAUCCAGUCAAACUGACGGUACCUCCUUAGCAAGCACCGGCUAACUCCGUGCCAGCAGCCGCGGUAAUACGGAGGGUGCAAACGUUGCUCGGAAUCAUUGGGCGUAAAGCGCACGUAGGCGGCUCGUUAAGUCGGGUGUGAAAGCCCUGGGCUCAACCCAGGAAGUGCAUUCGAAACUGGCGAGCUUGAAUAUGGAAGAGGGUCGCGGAAUUCCCGGUGUAGAGGUGAAAUUCGUAGAUAUCGGGAGGAACACCAGUGGCGAAGGCGGCGACCUGGGCCAAUAUUGACGCUGAGGUGCGAAAGCGUGGGGAGCAAACAGGAUUAGAUACCCGCGUAGUCC